CUUAAUUGCUGUCGGCCCGGCCAGGACACUUCACGCUAACCCGAAUCCAUAUACGUCAAAACAUGUCUGUUCUUCGUUUCACUUUAUUCUGCGGCGAGGUGACGAUCGAGUUCCUCUGAUUUCUCGAAACGGAUUGCGUUAUGGAUUCUAUGUGUUUAAUCCCAUUAAUACAGUCGCCCACUACAAAUUCUUCAAUGCAUGUUUUGCGUUGGCGAGAUAUGUAAUUUCUGGGUAUAAAUACAUAUGUAUUAUUCCGCUGUGACCAGCUUGAUAACAGGCUCAUCUUUUGCCAAAGAUUCUGACUUUCUUCAACAGAUUCAAACAAAGAGGGUUUAUAAGGAUGACACAAAGUGGUCAAGAAGAAACUAUGGCAUCUCAACGUUCCAGUGCUAUGGUUGAUAUCAAUAUAUUGCUGUAUAAGAUCAACUUUGUUAUUCAUUGAAUUUUUAUCCAAACAUCCGUUUGUUUCGUUUUUCGUAAUAAAGUGGGUAAUCUAUAAUAUCGUGAAA